GAUGAACGCUGGCGGCGUGCCUAACACAUGCAAGUCGAACGAAGCGCCUGGCCCCGACUUCUUCGGAACGAGGAGCCUUGCGACUGAGUGGCGGACGGGUGAGUAACGCGUGGGCAACCUGCCUUGCACUGGGGGAUAACAGCCAGAAAUGGCUGCUAAUACCGCAUAAGACCGAAGCGCCGCAUGGCGCGCGGCCAAAGACCCGGCCGGUGCAAGAUGGCCGCGUCUGAUAGGUAGUUGGCGGGGUAACGGCCACCAAGCCGACCGAUCAGUAGCCGACCUGAGAGGGUGA
rnacentral:rRNA from 1 species